AAUAAGAAAUUUAAGAGCAUAUGGUGGAUGCCUUGGCUCCAAUGAGGCGAUGAAGGACGCAGCACGACUGCGAUAAGCUACGGGGAGGUGUCUAGCAACCGUUAAUCCGUAGAUUUCCGAAUGGGGAAACCCAUCCCGAUGCAAAUCGGGAUACGCAAUCACUAGAUGAUGCGUGCAUACCCAGGGAAGCAAAACAUUCUAGUACCUGGAGGAAUAGAGAACAAUUGUUAUUUCCUUAGUAGCGGCGAGCGAAAAGGAAAGAGCCCAAACCGGUGCAUCACAUGGAAUGUGAUGACAGCAUCUAGCAACUGGCAAUUAGCACCUAGCAAACGCUCCGCGUUUGGCUAGAAACUAGUAGCUAAAAGCUAGAAGCUUUUGCAUCAUCGCACUUCGCGUGAUGCAUCGGUGUCAUAAGGCGGCAACAUCGGUAUUUAUAUCGAGAAGAGUCACAAAGUAUUUUGUUAGCGGAAGUAUCUGGGAAGAUACACAGAAUAGGGUAAUAGUCCCGUACGCGAAAGCAAGAUAUCUCUUUUGUUGCCGUUCUUGAGUACUUCGAGACACGAGUAGCUCGGAGGAAUUUGCCGGAACUAACCGGUAAGGCUAAAUACUCUUGGAGACCGAUAGUGAACAAGUACCGCGAGGGAAAGGUGAAAAGAACCCCGGUGAGGGGAGUGAAAUAGACCUGAAACCAUAUGCUUACAAGGAGUCAUAGCGGGCACAUCACACAAAGUGUGAUGUACGAAAACACAAAACACAGACAUACACAAAAAACCAAACAAAACACAAAACAUUCCAAACCCCACAAACGCUUCUUCGUUUGUGCUUUGAAAAAUUGUGCUUUGUUUGGACUUUGGAUACUGUGCUUUGGAAGGUUUCAGUCAUCGUGCUCUGCGCGAUGUGUCCGUGGUGGCGUGCCUAUUGAAGAAUGAGCCAACGAGUUGAUCCAUACGGCGCAGGCUAAGCCCCGCCCUUUCUGGAAUGUUGGAAGAUUGUGAAUUAUUUUUGAAUCUAGUAGUAAAAAAUAAUUUUUUCUUUCUUUGCAUUAUUGAAAGAGCGGGGUGGAGCCAUAGGGAAACCGAGUGUGAAUAGCGCGUAUGCCGUGCAAAGCACAGAGAAUAAAAUACAAAACACAAACCGCACAAAAACCAAACAAAACACAAAACACAAAUUUCUCAAACUUCACAAACGCUUCUUCGUUUGUGCUUUGAAAAAUUGUGCUUUGUUUGGGAUUUGCGCAUUGUGCUUUGGCUGUUUCAUUUUCCGCGCUCUGCGCGGCGGUCGUAUAGAUCAGACCCGAAGCCAAGUGAGCUUACCCUGGGCAGGGUGAAAGCCGAUGAAAAUCGGCUGAAGGCCCGAACUGGUUAGCCGUGCAAUACUAUCGGAUGACCUGGGGUAAGAAGUGAAAAGCUAAUCGAACUUGGUAAUAGCUGGUUCUCUCC
rfam:Parcubacteria bacterium GW2011_GWA2_44_15 TW34_C0004, whole genome shotgun sequence.